rnacentral:rRNA from 1 species
GGCGGACGGGUGCGUAACACGUGGGUAAUCUACCUUCCGGCGGGGGACAACAGUCCGAAAGGAUUGCUAAUACCGCAUACGUCAGCGAGGUCUACGGACCUUGUUGGGAAAGAUGGCCUCUCCUUGGAAGCUGUCACCGGAAGAUGAGCCCGCGUCCCAUCAGCUAGUUGGCGAGGUAAUGGCUCACCAAGGCUUAGACGGGUAGCUGGUCUGAGAGGAUGAUCAGCCACACUGGGACUGCGACACGGCCCAGACUCCUACGGGAGGCAGCAGUGGGGAAUAUUGGGCAAUGGGCGAAAGCCUGACCCAGCCACGCCGCGUGAGUGAUGAAGGCCUUCGGGUCGUAAAGCUCUGUGGGGAGGGACGAAUAAGUGCCGUGCUAACAUCACGGCGCCCUGACGGUACCUCCUUAGCCAAGCACCGGCUAACCAUGUGCCAGCAGCCGC